rnacentral:misc_RNA from 1 species
UUUAGAUCAUCCAAAUCAAUUUCAGGAAGCCCACUUAUUAGAAGCUCAAGCUCUUUAUCAUUAAAAAUGGAAAUAAGCUCCCCAGGGAUCAAUUCAUUGAACCCUUCCAAGAAGGAAUUGAUUUGAGGACGAAUAGCAUUUGUCAAGAUAUGAUCAGCAACAAGGUCUACAUACUCAUGCUUUGUUUCUUCUGUAACCCUUAUAUUUCUUCCUCCGGGUUUAAGCUCAUAAUCAGUAACCUCAGUUUUCUCAUAAAGGAUGUGCUUUUCUUCAUCAGCAUCCAUGCUGAAUGUCAAGUCAGGUAUAUCACUCACAUCAUUCUCCAACAUCCAUUUCAAAUUCUUGUAAUAAUCAGGAUCAACAGCCUCUAUGUCAUGAUAAGUCACCUUUACUCCAAGAAUGUGCUUGUAGAAAGAU